AGAGUUUGAUCCUGGCUCAGAACGUACGCUGGCGGCACGCCUAAUACAUGCAAGUCGAACGGAGUAGCAAUACUUAGUGGCAGACGGGUGAGUAACAUGUGGGUAUCUUCCCUUUGGUGAGGAAUAACACGAGGAAACUUGUGCUAAUACCUCAUAAGUCUUUACGGAGAAAGCUUUAUGCGCCAAUGGAUGAGCCCGCACUUGAUUAGUUUGUUGGUAGGGUAACGGCCUACCAAGACUGUGAUCAAUAGCUGAUUUGAGAGGAUGAUCAGCCACAUUGGGACUGAGACACGGCCCAAACUCCUACGGGAGGCAGCAGUAGGGAAUCUUGCACAAUGGAGGAAACUCUGAUGCAGCGAUGCCGCGUGAGUGAAGAAGGCCUUUGGGUUGUAAAGCUCUUUCGUCGGGGAAGAAAAUGACUGUACCCGAAUAGAAAGGUCCGGCUAACUUCGUGCCAGCAGCCGCGGUAAUACGAAGGGACCUAGCGUAGUUCGGAAUUACUGGGCUUAAAAAGUUCGUAGGUGGUUAAAAAGUUGGUGGUGAAAUCCCAGAGCUUAACUCUGGACUGCCAUCAAACUUUUUAGCUAGAGUUUGAUAGA
rnacentral:rRNA from 1 species